UAGGGAAUCUUCGGCAAUGGACGAAAGUCUGACCGAGCAACGCCGCGUGAGUGAAGAAGGUUUUCGGAUCGUAAAACUCUGUUGUUAGAGAAGAACAAGGACGUUAGUAACUGAACGUCCCCUGACGGUAUCUAACCUGAAAGCCACGGCUAACUACGUGCCAGCAGCCGCGGUAAUACGUAGGUGGCAAGCGUUGUCCGGAUUUAUUGGGCGUAAAGCGAGCGCAGGCGGUUUCUUAAGUCUGAUGUGAAAGCCCCCGGCUCAACCGGGGAGGGUCAUUGGAAACUGGGAGACUUGAGUGCAGAAGAGGAGAGUGGAAUUCCAUGUGUAGCGGUGAAAUGCGUAGAUAUAUGGAGGAACACCAGUGGCGAAGGCGGCUCUCUGGUCUGUAACUGACGCUGAGGCUCGAAAGCGUGGGGAGCAAACAGG
rnacentral:rRNA from 2 species